CCGCAGAGCUGAGGCGAGUGCAGACUUCUCUGCCUCCUACUGCCCAGGGCAAGCUCAGGAGGGUCCUAAACUUACCUAAGUUUCCAGGGCAGCUGUGAAGCUGUGCACAGAAGCUCACUCGGCCGCAGGAUGACACAGUGGACCUAUGUAGAGCCAAGGAAGAUAGCUGCACAGGGACAGGCCGGCGAUGUUGAAAGUCCAUAGAGAUCAGUGUGUUUCCCACCAGAACCAGAUGUGAAGACUCUUUCACUGAACACUCCAUGUUCUUUGGCUUCAGGAAAGAGCAAUGUCAAGCAUCAAGCUGCAGCUGAUCUGGAUGCUUCCUUCCUGAUGCUGGAAUGUGCUUUGCAGGUUCUGGGAGAGAAAUCAUGAACAGGCUUACGUUCAUGUGCUACGUGAGUGAGCUGCUGAGCAAUAUGCUACUGGACUGAUAGCUUUCUGACUGUUAAGGGAGUAGCCAGCUGCUUUUGACUGGAUUUGAGGUCAGCUCCACUUGGAAUUCACCUUAGGUGUUAGAAAGCUGUUCAGUAACCCUUAGCUGGGGAGCCACUAGGCCCUGCUGUGGAAGGUUCUACUGAUUUGCUAAAUGAGCAAGUUGCACCCAGCAAGUUGCCUUCUAAAUAGUUAUGCCUAUGCCUACAUAUUAGUGGUGCUCUCAGUUUUGGUCACUUAAACUUCUUUUUCAGUUAGUGGUAGCUAUUGCAGCAGAGACUCAGGGUCAAAGUGCUAAGAGUUGAUGACUGUUGAAGACUCAGCACUAAAUAGGACAUCGAUAUCAUUCCAAGCCUCAGGGAACAUUGUGGAAGAUGGAGUGGAAAAAAAAAGUCUAAGAGACAGUAGAGGUAGUGGGAACUGAUGGGACUCUGUCUUCAGGCAACAUCACGUUCCACACGCAUGAACUCAGAGCAGCACCUGGACGAGUCUGGGUACCUCAACAUUGCAUCACAGUGUGUAUACCUGUGGCAUGAUCAAAGAGGACUUUUAAUGAAGAAAGUCAUGGCUGGCCAAGGUGCUGAGAGCAAGUGCCUGAUCAGUGCUCAUAGAAUAUUGUAGAAGAAGAAGGGGAUUGUGAGCACCAGACAAUGGGGUGGGGCGGGGAUGUGAUAUGCCAUUAGUUGUCAGGGGAGUAACAUAACUAUGGUCCUCAUGAAUUCAGAGCAGCUACAGUAGUUACCCGAGCCUACAAGACGGAGCCUAUAAACCUCCAUUCACCAGAGCUGGAUGUGAAGCCCCUGUUGCUGAGAACUCCACUGCUGUGAUUUAGGAUGUAGAGAAAUCAAGGUGAAGCAAAGCUGGAAGCUUUCUCCCUGCUGGCUAGAUCUGAUAGUGCCAGAGUAUGUGAAUGAAGAUCCUAAGGGAAAAAGUCACCAAGCGUACUCACUUCCAGCUCCUCUGCCGCAGGAACAGCCUGCCAAGCGUUCUGCCUUCCACCAGAGUGUGUGUGUGUGGGGUAACCUAUUCUUCUCUAUAAUUGAUAUACCCAAAAAUGUCUUUUGCUGUUGUGAGAUAGACUUUCCCUGGGGAUACACAACACACACACACAUGUAUAUAUAUAUGAGUAUAUAUACAUAUACAUGCAUAUGUAUAUAUAUUCACCCCAGAAAGUAAAUCCACAACAGACUGCCACUUUUGAAUGGAUUUGAAGCCAGCUCUCCCAGGACUUCAUAUCUAGUACCAUAAAACUUUUCAGUAGUUCUUGGCAGAGUAACCCUGGUGAGGGAAGAUCCUACUAUUGUCAUAGAUGGGAUUGGGGGUCAUGGGGUCUUGCCUAGCUAACAGCUAUGUUGGGCUACUGGAGAAAAGAAGUCACUGUCUUUAGUGUUGUACCCCUGACAGCUCAUGGAUCCUUGGCAUCCAUUCUCAUGUGAGCAUCCCUCCUUAGAUCCAGUGCGCCAUGAAACAAAACCAAAAUGUUACUACUGUGGGAAGAUGAGUUGGUGGUGGUAGGAAGAGGACAAGAGAGGGUCACGUGACAAAGGUGGCCAGAAUAUUUAUUUACAUGCAUAAAUAUUUCCCAGAGUAAAUCCAUUCAAAACUAUUUGGCAUUUUAACAUUCUGUGAUGGGUAGGUGCAGUGCUAACUAGACCCAGCCCCUCUUUGGGGAUUUGUAGGUGGUUAGAGAUUGCUGUUAGGUCCUCAUGAAGACCCACUCUUCCUUGAGGACAUAUUGGCAGUUAGUGGGGAUGGAGGUCAGGGGGUAGAGAGAUAUUUCUUUAAUGAUAUAGCCAUUGUUAGCUGCCUGUGCUCCUUUAAGCAACCCUGAUUGAACUCAUUAGAUCAAACACACAAAAUAUGGGAAAGUGGAGGUCUGAUUGGGAAGAGGAAGGGGAUUAAUGAGAGCAGGAAGUGGCCCCAAAAGGGUAAUGGGGAAGGAAUAUAAUAACAUAUAUUAUUUUGUAUAAUUAAUAUAUGCCAAAAAUGUGUCUUUUGCUGUUGUAUGAAAAUAUUUUCUAGGGAUAUGGAACAUACACAUGCUCACCUCUGAAAGGGAACCCACAGUAGACCACAGUAGGGUUUGCACACAAGUCCGGCUUCUUGAUGAACCAAUGAUCUUUGUUGGGGUUACUAACAGGAGUGUGGACCAUAGGCUGUUUACAGGAGCAACUUUUUAAAAGCAGCUAUGGGGCUGAAGAGAUGACUCAGAGGUUAAAAGCAGUGGUGGCUUGCCUAUAGAAUGCAGAUUCAAUUCCCAGCUUCCACAGAGCAGUUCUGUAACUACCGUUACAUGGAGUCUGAUGCUCUCAUUUGGCCUCCAUAUUUGACACCAGGUAUGCAUGUAGUAUACAGAAAUAUAUUCAGGCAAAACAGCCAUACACAUUUUGUAAAAAAGUGAAGUAUCUCUGAAAAGCUGACCACAAUACAGGAAAGCUGCAACUGGGAGCUUCUUGCAGGGUUUGCAGGCAGCUGCCAGUCCUGAGAGCUUUUCUCAGCCUCCUGGCUGGUCAGCGGCUCUUCCCCCGGUAGCCGUUUUUUUGUCAAACCAGGGAGAGGUAUUAUAGAAUUUUCCAAAUUUCUUCCUUCAUGGAUUUGAAACCUUCUGUUUACUUGGCUCUUGAAUGAGCCUUCCUUUCCCUCCUGCAGGGAAUGUUUCAAGAAGAAAUGACCAUACAUGGUUUGCAGAGCAGGAAUUUGCCCCUUUCCCUUGAUCUUAGCACACAGGCUGAGAAAAUAGAUUUGAAUAAAUUCCCACAUUGUAGUGGCUUCUUGCAUAGAACAUAAUUGUAUUGCAUCUACAAAGCUCAUCGUGAAACCAUGUGGCCAACUUCAGUCCUAGAAUUUCAUUAUUUUUUUCAUUUUGGUUGUUGAUCCAUGGUCUACUAUGCAUUGAUUGUAAUUGUUGUGAUAAAUGAACAUGAUUUAAAGUCAUAUCACACCAUUUAUUUGUAUUGUACAGUUGCUAAGGCCCAUCCCCACAGUGGUUUCAGAAUCUUAUUUAACAGUGUAUCUAUUUAAUAA